rnacentral:rRNA from 1 species
GGACGAACGCUGGCGGCGUGCUUAACACAUGCAAGUCGAACGGAAAGGCCCUGCUUUUGUGGGGUGCUCGAGUGGCGAACGGGUGAGUAACACGUGAGUAACCUGCCUUGACUUUGGGAUAACUUCAGGAAACUGGGGCUAAUACCGGAUAGGAGCUCCUGCUGCAUGGUGGGGGUUGGAAAGUUUCGGCGGUUGGGGAUGGACUCGCGGCUUAUCAGCUUGUUGGUGGGGUAGUGGCUUACCAAGGCUUUGACGGGUAGCCGGCCUGAGAGGGUGACCGGCCACAUUGGGACUGAGAUACGGCCCAGACUCCUACGGGAGGCAGCAGUGGGGAAUAUUGCACAAUGGGCGGAAGCCUGAUGCAGCAACGCCGCGUGCGGGAUGACGGCCUUCGGGUUGUAAACCGCUUUCGCCUGUGACGAAGCGUGAGUGACGGUAAUGGGUAAAGAAGCACCGGCUAACUACGUG